GCAGCGGUGGUCAGGGGCAGGCGACCUUCACAUCUGGCUGGCCGAGGUGGGGCAGGGCUGGGAGGCAUCUCACCAGCCUCUCCCGAAGUUUCAGGACCAGAUCCACGACCUCCACCUCGGACUUGUCCUGCAUCCAGAUCUCGAGGUUCUGCGGGGACAAGAUGGGACCUUCCAUCGCCGAGGCUCUCGCCCAGCUCUGGGCCUGUGUCCGCCCCCCCUGCACUCUCCUCCGGCCCCUGUGUGGGGCUCGCACCCCUCUGUGCUCUCCCGCAGCCAUCGCCCCCCUCACCGCCUCACAGAUGGCCUCGAGGUGCAGGGCCUCCAGCUUCUGGGCCAUCUCUUUGUGCCGCUGUCGGUACCAGCCAUCAAAAUGGGGGGACUUGAAAAACCGCCUGUGGGGGGCAAGGGGCAGCAGGUGUGGGCUGACGCUGUGUGUUGAGGGAUGGGCACGGCCACCAGCAGCAGGGGCCCCAGGACCCUACCUACUGUCCACCCACCUGUAGAGGCCCAGCCAGUCGCCCUUGAGGAGGCAGCCCGGCGCCCUCCUCCCCGCCGGCCAGGCCCCACCAGAGGGAUGAUGAAGCUCUGCGUGAGCUCCAGGAGGUGCUGCCUCAGCACUGCAGUCUGCACGUCCGACGGCCGCUUCCUCUGCAGGCCCUGGGGGGCGGGGCGAGGGCUGAGCCACAGCAGGCCGGCUGCGCCCCCUUCACACACCGAGCCCAGCUUCCCCGCCCCGGAGCACCCCCCAGCGGUACCUUAAGCAGUCGUCUGAGCAGGGCCUUGUCUCGGUGGAGGUGCAGACCCGGAGAGGCCCCGCGUUCCCAGCACCCUUGGGUGGAGGCCGGGGACCUCACCUGGCAUCUUGGGCUCCCCGAUGCGGAGAACGUGGGGCCAGUGCUGGAGCGUUUUGAUAAAGAAAGGGUUUGUGACUCCCAGGACCACGCUUGGUCUAGAGAGAGAGAGAGAGAGAGAGAGAGGGAGGGAGGAGAGGCAGACGCAGGCGGAGGGCGCAGGGCGCAGGGCGGGCAGGGCGGCACUUACGGGGCCUGCGUGCGCGUCGUGAACUCCUUGAACUCGCUAUCGUGGACGGUGAAGUAGGGGCGGUAGUCGCAGCAGAACUUGAGGGGCUGCAGGCAGCUGUGGGGAGGGACCCGCAGGGACAGUCAGUUCGCAGGGCUGGUCCGGGGCCCCCGGCCCCUCGCGUUGCCGCCCGACCCACCUGGUCAAGGCCAGCACCAUCUCCGAGGACACUGCGGGCGAGGGCGCCAGGACCAGCAGGGGCUCCCCAAGAAGCAUGAGCUCCCACAGCAGCUGCACGUGGGCCAGCACGGGCCGGAAGCACCUGGGCCGGCGGGGGCGUUGGGGAGGCCGGUGGGAGGCUCCCCAGCCCUUGCCCACCUGCCCCGACCCAGGCCCAGGCAGGCCCUGUCUGGGUGAAGGCUGGGCCUCACUCCAGAGGAAGGCGGCCGUGAGGCCUUGUGAAGAUGCCUGGCCUCGCGCCCCCGCCAUGCCUGAAACCAACAGCCCUGGCUCCCGCUGGGCCCAGCACAGAGCCAGAGGGUCUCCAAAGCGCCCCCACCCCGAUGGGCUGAGCCCCGUGGGAUCACUCAUCACCUACCGGGGCAGCAGGUGGUGGCCUGCCAGGCUCACCUGAACAGGUCCAGCUCAUGGACACUGGUGAGGACGACCGGGGCUGGCAGCAGGUUCUGAGAGGAAGGGGGGUGGGGUCAGGCCGGGGGGAGGAUGACGCCUCACAAGCCCCGAGCAGCACAGGUCAUCCCGGGAGAGUCCCGGGGGCCGCAGUCCCUACCCACGUGCCUCCCGGCGCCCCACAGCCCUGCACGGAGAUGCAGGCCCUGUGUCUGGGGUCUGGCCACCCCCCAGUAGGUGAGGUGGGGAGGCCCAGGCAGGUGGGAGGGUUGAGGGUUGAGGCAGGUAUGGGGCCGUCAGCCUGGGAGCAGGGCGCCCACCUUGUGGCUGCACUGCUUUGGAGGACCGGAUUCAGGCUUGUCUGCGCUGGAUGGGAUGUGCACCUAUGGGUGAAGGAAGCAGCUGCCAGUGGGGCCGGGUGGCGUGUCGACACGCACUGGGGCCGUCCCACCCCAGCCAGGCAGCCCUCACCUGGAGGACGACUCCCAUGACAGGCAGGUUCAAGGUCUGCCCCGGCACAGGGGCCGGCCACUGGUCAAUCUCAUUGCAGACUGUGAACACAGGUGGCCAGCGUCAGAAGCCUGUCCUGGAGGAAGCUGCCCGCCGGAGCCACCAGGAGCUACAGCUGGGAUGAUGACGAGGCAGCUCUGGCAGCGCCUGCCGGCCACUCACCCGCUUCCAGGCAGGGCGCCAGCUUGUCGAAGUACUCGGGGGCAACCAGGCUCAGCAGCGCCUGGAACAGCCGGACGAAGGGCAGGCGGGACACCAGCACCAGAGACUGCAGGGCCCAGGGCUGGUGAGAUGUCGCCCCAGCCCCUUGGGACCCUGCAGGGACCCCUGAGGCCCAGCUCAUCCAGGGUCGCCCAGGGCAGGGUGUCCCAUCGACUUCCCAGGAAUGGCCUGACCUGGGACUCCAGGCUAUUAGAAAACCCCAGGCCUUCAGAGGGAAAUGCACGUGGGCCAGGAUCGUGGGAUGGUCUCCCCGGGGCUCAAGCAGCCUUUGCUUUUGGUGUCUGAAUUCAAGACUGAAGUCGUCCUAAUCUUGAAAGUGUGACGAGGGCCCCCCUCCUCCCUCAGCGAGGAGCAGGGAGGCCUGGGCUUGAGCCGGGGCUGGGCGAGGGAGGGGCAGCGGAGCCUGUUCUCCAGAGGCCGCCCCCGCCCCCAAGUGGCACGGUGGCCCCCGCCCAGGGCCAAGUGGCUAGGGCUGCCGAGGGGUGGGUGCUCCUGGAGGCUCAGGACCCCCACCCCCCAAGACCAUCAGCCUCUCCCGAUGGCUGCUGGCCCCCAACUCUCAGUGGGGCUACCCCAGAGCAACCAGCUGCUCACCUUCUGGAAGUAGCCCCUCUUCACAGAGCUGUCCUUCACCUGCCUGAAGUACACGUAGCCAAAGUAGUGUGCGGGCUCCCUCUGGAAGGAGGGGUAUCGGCCAGGCCACGCCCACUGCUCACCUCCCACCCGCCCCCUCGGACCCCCACGCAGGCUGCUGCAUGCUCUCCCCAGACCGGGAUCUGCCUGGGAGUCACGGCCCCGGAAGGCAGGCAACCGCUCUCCAGGGACAUCUCCGCAGACACAGUGGUGAGCGGUUCAGGGGCCCAAGAGCACCGGCCUCUGCACACCGAGCCACGCCUGGCGCACACGUGGAGCACAGGAAAAGCCCCAAGGACCCUGGCAAGUCCUCAGAAGCGCUGGCCCACCCCCAGUCGAGGCUGGGGUGCCGGGCCUGGCCUGCGGCAGUUGGAGACCCUGCUGGCUGGGGCUGGCCAGGCGCCUUGAAGGGCCGCUCACACCCGCCUGACCCUGGCCUGCAGGGGCAGGCGAGGAGCGCUGGAGAGGCAGCCCGGCUCACCUGCAGAGACACGGGGGCCCCACUGUCACAGUGCCUGUCAUCCGUGUGCCAGGGGCGCCUCUGCCCUCCACACUGACGAAUGCGGAAGCAGAACUGAGUAUCCCCGAGGCAGCCUGGGGAAGAGGUGGUCCCCUCACUCUGUGUCCGGGUUGGGCUGGAGCCUCUCCUGCCAGCAUGUGGGGCGGGGGGCCAGGGAGGGGGCGAAGCCCCUGCCGGGCUGCAAAUGCCUCAAAAAAGCCCAGCCCUCCAGUUCUGUGUCUCCCGACAGAGGUCCCCGUGUCUAGAUUCCUGCACCUAAGGGUUUAAACUCAGCACACAGAGAAGCACAGCCACAGCCCCGCAGCGCGUGCACUGUGGGCAAGCACGGCCGGGGGCUUGUGUGGCCCGGCGUAGCCUGCCCGGGGAGGAAAACCAGGCCGACCCGGACACCUGAGCCCUGGAGAAGCCGAGGCCAGGACCCAGCUCCUGGUGACCCCUCUGCUGGGGUGAAGGAGACCAGACCCCACUGCCCAGAGACACCUCUUUCCGCGGGAACCGGGGAAACCGGCUGCCGCGGCGUGGGGGCUCUGGCUGUCUCCCCGGAGCGGGAAGGGGGACCGGUGCUUACAGGCUGUGCAGGCCUGGCCGCAGGGGCUCUUGGGCAGCCUCAUCUCCCUCCUUCUUCUCCCCACAGCCCCAGAGAGACACCCAGACCGGGGCGGGGCGGGGUGGCCUACCUGAGUGGGAGUCGGGAAAGGACAGGUAGCAGAUGCUGCUUUUCUGAAACACAGGAAAGCCAGUGAGGGCCUGCUCCCCGGGUGAGGUCUGCUCCGGAGAGGGCUGGGACCCACCUCCUUGUCCGUGAGCUGGAAGUCGCUGGGGUACACCAGCUGCGGGGGACACAGAGUACUCAGUGACAUGGGCUUGGCAGGCUUGGUGCUGGGCUGCAGGUGUGUCCCCCCCACCCCAGCACUGUCAGACCCUCUGGCUCUCCCCCACCUCUGGCUCCCUGCUGACCCCUCCUCCUCUCUUCAGGGCUCCAGCGCCCUGCCCUGCCUCCCCAGGCCCCUCUCGGCCCGAGGCCACUCCUGGCCCCCAUCCUUCCCUUUUCUCGGCCAGCGCACAACUGGGUGAGCUCCUGGACUCCCUUCUCACACCCCUCGCCCUCAAGGCCACUCGCCCAGACUGGGCCUCCCUGCCCCACGUCCCGACAGUCUGUCCCCAAAGCCUCCUCUCUCGCCUAGAGCGGAUGCAGGGCCCUGCCUCCUGGCCCCCACCUCCUGAACCCUCUCAGCGCUCCGAACCCAACCCCACCCAGCCAGAGGGUCUUAGGCUCUGCGGCUCCUCUGGGCCUGCUCUCCCAGACGGCCUGGCCAGCCUCCCCAUCCCGUCUUAACUCAGAUGUUGCCUGACACUGGCACCCCUGCCUCUGAGCAUCUUCACUCCAACCCCUGCUAGUCAGGGGUCCGGGAGCUUCUGGCCUGCUCCCCGCUUGGAAUGUGACCCCUGGAGCACCCAGGCCCCUGGAGUGUAUGGUGAGCGUGACCAGCUGGACAGGCUCUACCUGGGAGACAGGCCACACUCUAGGGGAGCCAGUAGCCCUGUACGCAGGCAAAUGGCCAGAAUGGAUUUCUUUGCAGGAAAGGAAAAAGGCAGGGAACCUCCAGAGCCCUCACUCCCUGCAGGCCCCCAAGUGUCUCCUGGGGACCUGGUGCGCCUUGGGCAUCACUGCUGCCCUGGCCCGUGCUCAGGUGCAGCAGGACGGCUCUCCCAGGAAGCGGCUAUGCCGGGAGCCAGGAGCUGAGGGCCUGCAUGCGUGGCCCCCUCCUUACUCUGUCGGCCAAACUCCCACGCGGAGGAGGACUUGGGUUUUGGCUGACAUGAGGCUUCCUCUGGGGUGUGCCCCGAACCCCCAGAUGGUAAGUGCUCUGGAACCGAACCUGCAACAUCUCCAAGGUGUGCCUGUAUUUGUGGAGUGCGUGAAAACAUGUCUCCAAAGAAUAAUGGAACAGGUGGGGCAUGUGGAAAUCUCAAGACGUCAGCUAAGGAGGCGCCAAGAAGGAAGGGCCAAGAGGACGGAGGGGAGCCAGCCAGACAGUAUUUGUCUGUGGGGCGGACCCACAGGGCUACCUCGAGAUGGCUCCAAGAGAGGAGGGGCCGCAGGACCACUCGGGCCCCUGCGCGUCCUUGCUGGGAAGGGCAGAGGAAAGGCGGGUGCCUGGCAGCUGGCAGGGCCACGAUGGGCCCUCGGAGCUGAGGUCAGGGGUCUGAAUCUGGUCUGCAGUCACAGGAGUUUUGUAGCAUCUGAGCAGGCUCCACAGCCAUGCCCAGGGCUCCAAGUUCACUGUUCACAAGCUGGGAGCAGAGAUGGAGGGACGGCCCUGCCUGACUGAGGAGAGGAAUGGAGCGGACCCUCAGAGAGGGGCAGAGGGCGAGGGUCUGCCGCACGAUGAACCCUGUCCCCUGGAACCACAGGGGUCUUGUCCUUUCCACGGGAGCCAGUCUGCAGGGGCUGCAACUCCUGUAACCAAGUCGCCCCUGAGGAAGACAGAUGCAGCGAGCCUCGCCUUGCUGGAGAAGUGUGGCUUCCAGAGGCUGUGACACAGGCCGUCAAGGGCAACUGACUGAAGCUGACGUGAAGAUACAGCGGCCUUCUAUUUGGCCUUUAAAAAGGGACGUAAAAGUGUCAAAUAAUGCCAUUCUCCUCACUGAAUUUGUUUCUGAAAAUGGUUGUUUUUGUGCAAAUAUAUAUAUUUUUAAAGUAAGUAAAUAAAUAUUUAUUUAUUU